GUUUUGGCCAGGAUGGUCUCGAUCUCCUGACCUCGUGAUCCGCCCGCCUCGGCCUCCCAAAGUGCUGGGAUUACAGGCCUGAGCCACCACGCCUGGCCGACCUCAGAAUUUCAUUCCUUUUUAAGGCUGGUCAGCUAGGUUGUCAGCCUCAGUUCCUUAAUUUGAGAAGUGGGUAUACUUCUAAGUUAUAACCUUGAAAAUAUAAAGUAUUCUCUUGUGUAGAUGUGAAUAGUUCUAAGUCUUUCUGCCACCCACACCCCAGUCAGACCAUAAAUUCACUUAUUGAAUGAAUGUUAAUAAAAGACUAAAGUUUGAACAACAGCCAGGUAACAUUUCUUUGCCUUUUAUUUUCCACUCCCCUAUCUCACUUAGGACUAGACACCUCGAGUGACCCUCACAUUCCCCUUUCAAACAGAUUUGGUAAGAAUUUGAUUAAAAUUAUCUAGCAUUCUUUAUAUUUUUUUAGAGACAGCGUCUCACUCUGUCAUCUAGGCUACAGUGCAGUGGUGCAAUCAUGGCUCACUGCAGCCUUAACCUCGUAGGCUCAAGUGAUCCUCCUGAGUAGCACAAGUGUGUGCUACCAUGCUUGGCUAGUUCUUUAAUACUUUUGUAGAGACAAGGUCUCACUAGACCAGGCUGGUCUCAAACUCCUGGCCUCAAGCCAUCCUCCUCGGCCUCCCAAAAUGCUGGAAUUAUAGGCCUGAGCCAGUGCACCUAGCCAAAGUUGUCUAGCAUUCAACCAGCUGCUCUUGAACCUGCCCCCGCUUCCCCAUUUCCCCUACUUUUCAAAUAUCCAACCCCACGUUAAUUGCUUUAUGCUAUUUCAGCCUUAUGACCCUGGGUGGCAGGUGCAAUCCCAUUUUACCCAUGAGGGAGCUGAAGCUCAAAACUAGAGCAGUUUGCUGAAGUUCACCCAGCUAAUAAGACUGGAUUAGGACUUAGGCCUGCCUGAUUCAGGUUCAGUUCUCAGUACAUGCUCAUGCCAGGCAUGGAUGUCUUCAUGUCCAGCACUCUGAACAUGAGCUAGACUGCAGGUGACUUAGAAAGGCCUCAGAGUCUAGAACAGAGUGUCUCAAGGGCAGAGCCACAUUAUGGAGAUUAAUCUGGCUGGACCAAAGUAGUAGUAGAAAAAUAGAAAGCCAUAUGAAAUGAGCUGGGGUUUUGCAUGAGAAAGUAGGGAGGUUCCGGGCAUCUCAGUUAAGGUGGAAUUGCAGGUCCUCGCCCUAAUCCUGAUCCCAUCUGCAGCAUCUGUUCCUAUUUGCACAUUGCUCUAGAAUUGAUGAAAUGCUUUUAGUGCUACCACCUCAGUGGUAUUCAAAUGUUAUUAAUGAAGAAAACAAACAUAAUGAAACCAAUCCCUUCCAGGCCAACAUGGGAAUAAUGGGUUGUAGGGAGGUGUACACUUAUGUUUUAUUCUUACUUGUUUUUGAGACGCUCUGUUGCCCAGGCUGGAGCGCAGUGGUGCAAUCUCAGCUCACUUCAACCUCUGUCUCCCGGGUUCAAGCGAUUCUCAUGCCUCAGCUUCCCAAGUAGCUGAGAUUACAGCUGUGUGCCACCUCACCUGGCUAAUUUAUUUGUAUUUUUUAGUAGAGACGGG
rnacentral:lncRNA from 10 species